rnacentral:lncRNA from 1 species
UUUUUAACUAAUCUAAUUAAAGUCAAUUUGGGGAUAGUGGUACUUCUCUAAUUGUUUCUGAGACAUACGCAUUAGCAACAGAGAGUGUUGUGUUGUCAUAGCAACGGGCCUACGGUAAUGACUUCAGAAAUAGAAUUGAAUUAUGUUACAAUGGCAAUUUGGGAACAGCUGCCUCUGUGCAAGUUUAGUUAGGAGGAACACAGAAGUGUGCUGGAUGUGAUGAAACCAUGUGACGAUUUGUGAUGAAACCAUGUGAGGAUACCGCCUUUAGGUGCAUAGAGAGAGCCCAUGCCCUUCUAGCAAAGAUGAAAAAAGAGUACAGGUAGCACAGGAUUUUAAUCUGCUCCCAAAGCUGAGAUGAGGAACUGGAGUGAACAGGAUCAUUAUGGUUCCUGAACUUGUCCAUUUGUGGAGAAUUCAGAUGGAAAAAGACAAAGGAAGAAACAAAGAAAAGAAAGGAAGAACUCCUUUUUUGAUAUCCAUACAUUUCCCACCAUUCAUACUAAUGCCAAGAGACUGA